GAGAACAAAGAUUCCGUAGUGUGUUUAAUCUGUUUAAUAUAUGCUCAGAAUUACUUUGUUAUAUCGUGUCGUCGGUUAUACCGUGCUUUUCUUUAUAUUUGAACACGUGCUAUAUAACUAGAUGCUCUUGUAUUUAAUGUCAAAAUAUAAAAUUGAUAAUUUAUUUAUGAGUUAAAUUAUACAGUAGUUGUUAAUAAAUUACUUUUUACGUUUGCAGUAUCCAAAUGCAAGAAGUUGUGGAAGAAUCUCUGCGAUCAGUUCAGAGCUAUCCACAACAGCUUGCCGAGAAGCGGAAGUGGCUUAGAAGCCACAAAGCCAAAAUGGAUAUUCUAUCCACAAUUACAGUUUUUAGCUGAUGUGGUAGAAGCUAGAGUAACACAUUCAAAUGUUGUAGAAAAUGAAACAAAUGAAAAUAAUGAAAAUAUACAACUAACUGCAUCAGAAAUUUUAGAAAAUAUGACUUGUUCUGAAUCGGCUUUAUGUGAUGUGAAUAUUG